rnacentral:rRNA from 1 species
GCAGGCUGCAACUCGCUGCAUGAAGUCGGAAUUGCUAGUAAUCGCGGAUCAGCAUGCCGCGGUGAAUACGUUCCCGGGCCUUGUACACACCGCCCGUCACACCAUGGGAGUCGGUAACACCCGAAGCCGAUAGUCUAACGAAAGAGGACGUCGUCGAAGGUGGGAUUGAUGACUGGGGUGAAGUCGUAACAAGGUAAC